GAGUCAUGUAAAGGUUCCCUUCGCAUUUCCUUCCUGUCUCAUUUCUGCCUCUUCUGUUCAGGGUAGAAAAUGGUAUGCCUAUGUGACAGUUUCACAGCUUCUUUUCCCUCCGCGCCUGCCUUUGUUACGGUACGAGAAAAGGAAUAUAUUUUCUGCAUCUAAUAUGCUUACGUUCUUGCCGAAUGUAUUUCAGUUCUUCGCCCGCUCAUAGCAUAGAGACUGCAACUCCAGCACAAGUUUUUCUCCACUUUCAGGGUGCGCCGUCACUCUCCACAAGGUGAUGUAUCUGGAUACAAAGGGUGGCUGUAUAAUCUUAGUACAGGACAUCGGAGAUGGCAAAAAGGGAUGCCAGCUCCUGCGUACAGAACUGACUAUUGAAACGGAAGUGCCAAAGGAAUGCUAUAAAGUGUAUAAGGAGAACUGCAAAGGCGAUGUGCUAAAAAUGUAUGAGAAGAAGUGCAAACAUUAUAACCAGGUUCUAAUACCGCGUACUUUGUAAACACACUUUAUAUGUAUAGCUUACCACACUGCACGCUUUGACAUGUACUAAAUAAAAUAAACUUACGACAGUAAA
rnacentral:lncRNA from 1 species